UGUGUUUAUCCUGACAGGGACAAUCCAUCUGAGAGACUCGGCAACCAGAAGAACGGCGUGAAGGACAUCCAGAAACACAAAUGGUUUGAGGGGUUUAACUGGGAUGGUAUUCGGGAAGGAACCUUGGCUCCUCCAUUUAUACCAAAUGUGGAUGGGCCUUUGGACACAAGUAAUUUCGACUGUUUCUCUGAGGACACAGAUGAGCCGCCCCCUGAUGAAGAGUCUGGCUGGGAUAUUGAGUUCUGAUUGGAUGGACCAAAUGUUAUGAAUGGACACAUAAACUGUAGCCUGAAUCCAGAAUAGAACAUGAACAACAGAGCUGUUAGUGCCUGAAAGUCAUGUGCAAAUAAAACUUUUUCUUUCUUUAGA